rnacentral:ncRNA from 1 species
AAAGAACGCCGCCGGAUAACGCAAGGGUGUGUCACCAGCGUCUUAGACGCGGCAGUUGCGCCGGGAGUUCUUUCUAUA